rnacentral:rRNA from 1 species
AGUCGUGCGAGAAACCUCCUUCGGGAGGGAGUAAAGCGGCGCACGGGUGAGUAACACGUGGGUAACGUGCCCUUGAGUCCGGGAUAACUCGGGGAAACUCGGGCUAAUACCGGAUGCGGCUGCGAGGUCUUCGGACCCUGCGGAGAAAGGUGGCCUCUGCUUGCAAGCUACCGCUCAUGGAUCGGCCUGCGUCCCAUUAGCUAGUUGGUGAGGUAACGGCUCACCAAGGCGAAGAUGGGUAGCUGAUCUGAGAGGAUGAUCAGCCACACUGGAACUGAGACACGGUCCAGACUCCUACGGGAGGCAGCAGUAGGGAAUUUUGGGCAAUGGGCGAAAGCCUGACCCAGCAACGCCGCGUGAGGGAUGAAGGCCUUCGGGUCGUAAACCUCUGUCAGGAGGGAAGAACUGGCUCUCGAAUAACACGCGAGGGCUUUGACGGUACCUCCAAAGGAAGCGCCGGCUAACUCCGUGCCAGCAGCCGCGGUAAUACGGAGGGCGCAAGCGUUGCUCGGAAUUACUGGGCGUAAAGCGCGUGCAGGCGGUCGAGUAAGUCGGUUGUGAAAUCCCCAGGCUCAACCCUGGGAACUGCA